UUUUUGGGUUGUUAGGGUUUAGAACUUGAUUCGGUUGAUCUACGAAAUUUCAACGUUUCGCUCUAGAUCGGUGGUCAUAUAUCGUGCUAUGUACGUAUACCAACGCAUAUCUAUUGUGUGGAAUUUGUUGCAUGCAAUCGGUUGAGCGUAGGAAAUUGAAAUUCGUAUAUAUAUACGAAAUGUAUAUGAGCAACGCAAGUUUUUGCAUUUGUGAGAUGAUUUGUAGUCAAAUUAAAAUGUAUAAUGAGUAGCUUCGAUAUUCAUGCAGUUUAUCGGUAUGACGUCGAAUUUAUGGCGCAAGGAAAAGUGGGCACAUAUCGGUAAGAAGUAUCCCGAUGUGAGUUGCAAAGAUGCUCCCGUUCCCCCCGCCCUCACCGUCCCGACUUGUGACUGUGGUAAGCGAGCUGUGGUUCUUCAGUCGCUACACGAAGAUACUGCCGGUCGGGCUUACUACCUGUGCUCGGAUUAUCGUGUGAGUGUAUUUUUGUUAAAGAUAAUGGUAGAAGCAAAUGGCAAUACUUUUGCAUAUGUGACGUUUUAAUAAUUUGUAGGAGUGGGAGAUGUGCUAUUUCUUCCAAUGGAUAGAUGGGCCCGAUAUGUAUGAUCAGAGGAUUCUGCAGGUGAAACGGUUUAGUCAGUAUCCGAAGCCAUUUGACAAGUUUGUUCGUUGGGUCCCCCCACCACCAAAUCCGCCAAAAUUGACGGAUAAAGAGAAGUGGCAAUUGAAGAGUAUACAUGUUGCGGAUCCUCCGUUGUGCAAUUGCGGAAAGUGAAGCGUACUUUGUGAACCUUCUGGGGGGUCGCCUUACUUUCGUUGCGAAGGGAUGACAAGGCGCCAUGGUGUAACAUGUGGCUUCCGGGAUCCAUUGUACGGACCUGAUGGUCUAUGAAAAGAUGAAGAAAAAGAUGAAGUGAAGGGGUAAAGAGUUAUAGAACCUUGUGCCCCAAGAAAGUGCCCUUGUGGUGUGAAUGCGAAUCACGGGAUAGUGCCAUCGGAACUUGGAAUGGGGUACUACUGCGGACAUGUGGUCAGCAAUGAUAUGAGAACGCGGAAAUGUUCGUGGGAGGAGUACCUCGAUAAAGGAGCGGUUGAUCAUGAGAUUGCAUGGCGGAGUAAGCGUCCUCCAAACGUGCUGUCAAGCUAUUUGGAGAUCAGGAAGAAAGAAACUCGUGAUUACUACCGUGCUUUGUAUCCCCCCAUCAGAAGUACUACAAUGGCGGGUAAAGAUGUUUCGGCUA